rnacentral:siRNA from 1 species
GGAGUAUGACAAUUUAGAAGUGU